UUUGUGGAGAGUUUGAUCCUGGCUCAGGAUGAACGCUGGCGGCGUGCUUAACACAUGCAAGUCGAACGGAAAGGCUCCUGCUUGCAGGGGUACUCGAGUGGCGAACGGGUGAGUAACACGUGGGUGAUCUGCCCCGCACUUCGGGAUAAGCCUGGGA
rnacentral:rRNA from 1 species